rnacentral:rRNA from 1 species
ACACAUGCAAGUCGAACGGUAAGGCCCUUCGGGGUACACGAGUGGCGAACGGGUGAGUAACACGUGGGUGAUCUGCCCUGCACUUCGGGAUAAGCCCGGGAAACUGGGUCUAAUACCGGAUAGGACUGCGCGGUGCAUGCCGUGUGGUGGAAAGAUUUAUCGGUGCAGGAUGGGCCCGCGGCCUAUCAGCUUGUUGGUGGGGUAAUGGCCUACCAAGGCGACGACGGGUAGCCGGCCUGAGAGGGCGACCGGCCACACUGGG